rnacentral:rRNA from 1 species
AGGCUUAACACAUGCAAGUCGAACGCUCCUUUCGGGGUGAGUGGCAGACGGGUGAGUAACGCGUGGGAACAUGCCCUUCAGUUCGGAAUAACCCAGGGAAACUUGGGCUAAUACCGGAUACGCCCUUUUGGGGAAAGAUUUAUUGCUGAAGGAUUGGCCCGCGUCUGAUUAGCUAGUUGGUGAGGUAAAGGCUCACCAAGGCGACGAUCAGUAGCUGGUCUGAGAGGAUGAUCAGCCACACUGGGACUGAGACACGGCCCAGACUCCUACGGGAGGCAGCAGUGGGGAAUAUUGGACAAUGGGCGCAAGCCUGAUCCAGCCAUGCCGCGUGAGUGAUGAAGGCCUUAGGGUUGUAAAGCUCUUUCGGCGGGGACGAUAAUGACGGUACCCGCAGAAGAAGCCCCGGCUAACUUCGUGCCAGCAGCCGCGGUAAUACGAAGGGGGCUAGCGUUGUUCGGAAUCACUGGGCGUAAAGGGCGCGUAGGCGGCCAUAUAAGUCGGGGGUGAAAGCCUGUGGCUCAACCACAGAAUUGCCUUCGAUACUGUAUGGCUCGAGACCGGAAGAGGUAAGUGGAACUGCGAGUGUAGAGGUGA